GUGGGGAAUCUUCCACAAUGGACGAAAGUCUGAUGGAGCAACGCCGCGUGAGUGAAGAAGGGUUUCGGCUCGUAAAGCUCUGUUGUCGGGGACGAAUGUGCAGUAUUUGAAUAAAGUAUUGCAAUGACGGUACCUGACGAGGAAGCCACGGCUAACUACGUGCCAGCAGCCGCGGUAAUUCGUAGGUGGCAAGCGUUGUCCGUAAUUAUUGGGCGUAAAGGGAGCGCAGGCGGGAAGGUAAGUCGGUCUUAAAAGUGCGGGGCUCAACCCCGUGAUGGGAUGGAAACUAUCGUUCUUGAGUGCAGGAGAGGAAAGUGGAAUUCCUAGUGUAGCGGUGAAAUGCGUAGAUAUUAGGAGGAACACCAGUGGCGAAGGCGACUUUCUGGACUGUAACUGACGCUGAGGCUCGAAAGCCAGGGGAGCGAACGGGAUUAGAUACCCUGGUAGUCC
rnacentral:rRNA from 1 species